rnacentral:lncRNA from 1 species
UGUCCUUUCAUUGAUGAGAGGAAUCCAUCGACUUGUUACCUUAUCAAUGGAAUUCUUGUUGUUAACAGCAUAUACUAUACAAAUCACAUUUGCCUGUGAGAUUUCAUGAUAAAGUUGUUCAUCAUUUUGUUCUGCUUCUGAAUAAUCCACUAUGUGGGUUGGCACUCUUUCAGGGGUGACAUCAGCUGGAAUGGUGAUUUCUUCAGCACGUGGUGGAACCUCUUCUGGAAAUUCCUCACUGACAAGAGACAUAAUUAGCGAUGUCUUCCCAACUCUGGGUUCUCCCACCAGCAGGAUCCUCACAUCCUUCUUCAUGGCCCCGCUGCCUGGCCCCGCCGCGGGGCGCUCACAUCGGGCUCGCUGGGGGAAGCGGAGCCGCCGCGGCCUGCGCGCCCCUCACACCGCGACCCUCUCCGCACCGUG